rnacentral:tRNA from 2 species
GCCGAAGUGGUGGAAUUGGUAGACACGCCAUCUUGAGGGGGUGGUACCGCGAGGUGUGCGGGUUCAAAUCCCGCCUUCGGCA